AUUGAACGCUGGCGGCAGGCCUAACACAUGCAAGUCGAGCGGGGUUUUCGGACCUAGCGGCGGACGGGUGAGUAAUGCGUAGGAAGCUGCCCGAUAGAGGGGGAUACCAGUUGGAAACGACUGUUAAUACCGCAUAAUGUCUACGGACCAAAGUGUGGGACCUUCGGGCCACAUGCUAUCGGAUGCGCCUACGUGGGAUUAGCUAGUUGGUGAGGUAAUGGCUCACCAAGGCGACGAUCUCUAGCUGGUUUGAGAGGAUGAUCAGCCACACUGGAACUGAGACACGGUCCAGACUCCUACGGGAGGCAGCAGCGGGGAAUAUUGGACAAUGGGCGCAAGCCUGAUCCAGCCAUGCCGCGUGUGUGAAGAAGGCCUUCAGGUUGUAAAGCACUUUCAGCGAGGAGGAAGGGGUGUGUGUUAAUAGUACACACCUUUGACGUUACUCGCAGAAGAAGCACCGGCUAACUCUGUGCCAGCCGCCGCCGUAACAC
rnacentral:rRNA from 1 species